rnacentral:rRNA from 1 species
CCAAGGGUAUGGCUGUUCGCCAUUUAAAGUGGUACGCGAGCUGGGUUUAGAACGUCGUGAGACAGUUCGGUCCCUAUCUGCCGUGGGCGCUGGAGAACUGAGGGGGGCUGCUCCUAGUACGAGAGGACCGGAGUGGACGCAUCACUGGUGUUCGGGUUGUCAUGCCAAUGGCACUGCCCGGUAGCUAAAUGCGGAAGAGAUAAGUGCUGAAAGCAUCUAAGCACGAAACUUGCCCCGAGAUGAGUUCUCCCUGAGACUUAGAGUCUCCUGAAGGAACGUUGAAGACGACGACGUUGAUAGGCCGGGUGUGUAAGCGCAGCGAUGCGUUGAGCUAACCGGUACUAAUGAACCGUGAGGCUUAACCUU